GUACGACCCACUGCUUAGUAUAUGCACGUGCUUCGGUGCGAGCAAUAUACAUUAAACUAUAGAGACCGCUGUUUCUUCUUUAAACCAGAGGAAGGAUACGGCAAUAACAGGUCUGUGAUGCCCUCAGAUGUUCCGGGCUGCACACGUGCUACAAUGAUCAUUGCACUGUGCAUCUAACCCAAUGUGCGUGGACGCCGCAUGCAUGUACUCCUUGUGGGUACACGCAUUGCUGAGCGACCACGCCGAACCUACUUCGAAAGUAAAAUUUCUCUGUGGGUAAUCCAUUAGAAGUAAUGACUCGCAUAGACCAUGGCACACCAAAUGUACGCGCAGGUCUACCCGGCUCGCCUUUGUGUGAGUGCAGUGCGUAGCUUGUUGUUUCGUACGUGCCACUCCGUAUUAAUUCGUACGUGGGGAUAGAUCAUUGUUUAAUUGUUGGUCUCGGUCUUAACUAGGAAUGCCUUGUACGGGUCUCUGGUUCAACAUACCACCCGGAAUACGUCCCUGCCCUUUGUACACACCGCCCGUCGCUCUUACCGAUGGAUUAUGCUAUGAAUCUAUAGGACUGCCAAAGUUGCCUCGGCUGCUUAGUGGAAAUAUAUAUGAAUAGCGGAUCUAAAG
rnacentral:rRNA from 2 species